CUCGCGCCCCGCGCCCACAGGUGCACGCGCCCUUGGCGCCGCCUGCACCCCACGCGCCCCCUCCGCUCCCCGGCCGACGGCCCACCUGGGCUUCGUGAACAGUGGGAGGGAGAGUCUGGGGCCAGGAGAGGGACGGUGCAGGAUCAGGGAAAGGUGGAAAUCAGAAGUACAUGCAAUAGGAAUUAACUUGAAUAUGAUGCAUAAAGUUUGAAGCAAAGGUGAGUGAUAGAUGAACAUUGGUGAUGUAACUCCGGAAGUUGUCUGUCAUAACUGAUGACUUAUCCCCAUCAUAUGUGCUGAAAACUACUCAGAUGAAGUUAACAACCUGAUAUUACAAAAUAAGCAUAUAUAUUUUGUGUUUAUAAGAACCUAAUAAUCAUCUGGAGACUUAGUACUUGGGGGGUGAGCUAUAGAUAGCCCUGUGUAUCAGGGUUUUCCAAACAAACAGAACCAAUGGGAUAUAUAUAGAUAUAUAAAGACACUUCUUAUAGGAAUUGGCUCAGGAGAUUAUAAAGGCCAAGAAGUUCCAAUAUGUGCCCCCUGCAAGCCGAAGAACCAGGAAAUCCAGUGUAAUUCUUGCAUGUGAAGCUGAAGGGCUGAAGAGUGUCUGCUGGUAUUGAAGGCUCAAGAACCUGGAGCUCUGAAGUCAAGGGCAGGAGCAGAUGAUGGAUGUCCCAGCUUCAGAAGAGAGAGCAAAUUUGCCUUCCUCCACCUCUUUUAUGAUUCCUAUGCUCAGUUAAUUGAAUGAUGCCCACUCACAUUAGUGAGGAUGGGUUUUUGAUACCCAGUCUAUUGAUUCAAAUGCUAAUCUCUUCCAGAAAUACUCUCACAGACUCUCCCAGAAAUAAUAUUUUACCAGCUGUCUGGGCAUCCCUUAACCCAGGAUGGGCUAAGAGACAAGUGGACACAUAAAGUUAACCACCAUACCCUGUAAAUAUGGUAUGAGAAGGGAUCGAGUCAUAUUUCAUAUCAAGAUUAUUUUCCAAUGCAUAGAUGCCUUGGAAUAAUACUUCUUAUAAAAUAAUGAGUAACAUUUUCUAGCACAAGUUCCAAACUGUGUACCAUGGAACCCUAGCUCGGUCAUAUGUUGCUCGGUAUUGCAUGCAUACCCGAAAAGAAUUCUGUAAUCAAGUAACUUUGAGAAAUAAGAGGUUAAACAAAAUUAAACAAAUACCUUCACUUUAAAAUGCAUACAAUUCUUUAAGAUGAUAAUCUGCAUUUUGAAUUUUAAAGAGGGUAGGUAGCUUCAGUAUGUAGCAUCACUCCCUCUCCCUAUUUCUUUUUUCUUUUUUUUUUUUUUGAGACAUAGUCUCUCUCUUUUCCCCAGGCAUGAUCUCUGCUCACUGCAACCUCUGCCUCCAGGGAUCAAGCAAUUCUCAUGCCUCAGCCUCCUGAGUGGCUGGGAUUACAGGUGUGUGCCACCAUACCCGGCUAAUUUUUUUUUUUGUAUUUUUAGUAGAGAUGGGGUUUCACCAUGUUGGCCAGGCUGGUCUUGAACUCCUGACCUCAAGUGAUCCACCCACCUCAGCCUCACAAAGUGCUGGGAUUACGUGCACACACACCUAGCUAAUUUUUGUAUUUUAGAAGAGACGGGGUUUCACCAUGUUGACUGAUCUCGAACUCCUGACCUCAAGUGAUCCACCUGCCUGGGUCACCCAAAGUGCUGGGAUUACAGGCAUGAGCCACCGCGCCUGCCUGGCACCUCUCCCCAUUCCUUGUUUUUGUUUGCUGCACCAACUCCUAGUGUUGCACAAAGCAUGCUUUAGGGAAUGUGGUUUGGAAGCAUUCGAAUCAAACCCUUGAAUUUUUUUAGACCCUUGUAGAAGUGAAGGUUUAUAGUGUACAUUUUUGUCAAAGCAGAUGGGUUCUUUUCACUGAAAGUUGUUUUCACACAUGACCUUGAAAAUAAAUUAAUAAAAAAAAAGUAGAAAUAUUAGGCUGACAGACAUUUUAAAGUAGGGCAUAAGAUGCCAUAAAAAGCCUUUUGAAAGUUUAAAAUAGGAGUUAAAGUGUGUGUUAUAUGGAAGAUACCAGAUUAGAGUCUUUGAAUAUUUAUUAUAUAAAUGUGCAAGUAUAUGACCAGCUUCUUCCCAGUUUGGGGGAGUAAUGGGACGGCAUUCAGUUCACAUUUGAGACUGCUUCUCUUUAAAUUUUCGUAAGUGAAAAGGAAGAAGGAUCACUAAGUUUACAAAGACAAGUCUCGGAAUAAGACUUUCGUUCACUGUAUUGCCUUUAAUCAUCUGGUGGGAGGGCCCUCAAGAAGUGGCCAAGGCCCUAUGAAGAUUGGUGAAGAGUUUCAAGGAGGAGAAUUGAAGGAGACAGCUAUGGGAUUAAUUUUGAGAGAUGCCUUUGCUGAAAUGUCUCAUAAAAUAUACAUGGAGAGCAAGGGCACAAGGAGACAGAGAACUCUCUCGGCCAA
ensembl:lncRNA APP-DT APP divergent transcript